UACGGAGGGUGCAAGCGUUAUCCGGAUUCACUGGGUUUAAAGGGUGCGUAGGUGGGUCUGUAAGUCAGUGGUGAAAAUCUUCGAGCUUAACUCGGAAACUGCCAUUGAUACUAUAGAUCUUGAAUUUUCUGGAGGUAAGCGGAAUAUGUCAUGUAGCGGUGAAAUGCUUAGAUAUGACAUAGAACACCAAUUGCGAAGGCAGCUUAACUACGGGAACAUUGACACUGAGGCACGAAAGCGUGGGGAUCAAACAGG
rnacentral:rRNA from 1 species